GAAAACCUGAAAUUAAAACAGAGAAGACUAGAGAUUACAGUGUGUUGUAUGCACAGGUCUCCCACGAUAGAGCUAAAACCAAGAAAGACAACAAUGACAGCCUGUUGUACGCACAGGUCUAUUACACUAAAGCAAAACCUAAGAGACACAAAGGGAAACCAGCUC